GCCAGGUGGCUGAACGGGUCAGUGCAUCUGGCUUUUAACCAGAAGGUUAGUGGUUCAGGUCCACCCAAUGACA